AGUUUUUGGUUAAAAGAACCCGGAAAGAGAAGGACUGUGGGGGAACUGAUGGCGUUCCUGUUACCUCUCAUCAUUGUGUUAAUGGUGAAGCACAGCGAUUCCCGGACGCACUCUCUGAGAUAUUUUCGCCUGGGCGUUUCGGAUCCCAUCCAUGGGGUCCCUGAAUUUAUUUCGGUUGGGUACGUGGACUCGCACCCUAUCACCACAUAUGACAGUGUCACUCGGCAGAAGGAGCCACGGGCCCCAUGGAUGGCAGAGAACCUCGCGCCUGAUCACUGGGAGAGGUACACUCAGCUGCUGAGGGGCUGGCAGCAGAUGUUCAAGGUGGAACUGAAGCGCCUGCAGAGGCACUACAAUCACUCAGGUGUGCAUGCGGCAGAGACAGACGCUUCCCCCAUCCCACCCCAACCCGCAGAGACCCCUUGGCUGGCCUCCAAUAAGCGGAUGCUGAAUUGCACCUGCUGUAGCUUUGGCAAAGCCUGAGAAAUCAGGUUGGUGGAGUUCAGGGCCUCCCAUCUGCCUGUGCAUCUUCUGGACUGUCCCUCUCUCCCCCAGGAGCACUCUGUCAUUUGCCCCACCCACUCUUCCCCAUCUCUGUAUCCGUAUCCGCAUCCCAUUUCCACUCAGGCUUCUGAUAUGCAUCUCCUUUUCCAUUCUAAAUUUGCCCAUUCUGUGUCUCACUUCCUGGUAGCCAGGCCUAGUGACUUGCUUAUGCGUAUCGACAGUAACUUUCCCAGGGGUAUUUCUGG
rnacentral:sRNA from 1 species